rnacentral:misc_RNA from 1 species
CGUGGGAGCGAGCCUGCUCGCGAAAGCGUCGGGUCAGUCAACUUGAUAUUGAAGCUGAUGGCCUCUUCGCGAGCAGGCUCGCUCCCACA